rnacentral:rRNA from 1 species
GAUGAACGCUGGCGGCGUGCUUAACACAUGCAAGUCGAACGGUGAACGAGGGAGCUUGCUCCCUCCGGAUCAGUGGCGAACGGGUGAGUAACACGUGAGCAAUCUGCCCUGGACUCUGGGAUAAGCGUUGGAAACGACGUCUAAUACCGGAUACGAGACGCGAAGGCAUCUUCAGCGUCGGGAAAGAACUUCGGUCCAGGAUGAGCUCGCGGCCUAUCAGGUAGUUGGUGAGGUAAUGGCUCACCAAGCCUACGACGGGUAGCCGGCCUGAGGGGGUGACCGGCCACACUGGGACUGAGACACGGCCCAGACUCCUACGGGAGGCAGCAGUGGGGAAUAUUGCACAAUGGGCGCAAGCCUGAUGCAGCAACGCCGCGUGAGGGACGACGGCCUUCGGGUUGUAAACCUCUUUUAGCAGGGAAGAAGCGAAAGUGACGGUACCUGCAGAAAAAGCACCGGCUAACUACGUGCCAGCAGCCGCCGUAAGAC